UACGGAGGGUGCAAGCGUUAUCCGGAUUCACUGGGUUUAAAGGGUGCGUAGGUGGGCAGGUAAGUCCGUGGUGAAAUCUCUGAGCUUAACUCAGAAACUGCCGUGGAUACUAUUUGUCUUGAAUGUUGUGGAGGUGAGCGGAAUAUGUCAUGUAGCGGUGAAAUGCUUAGAUAUGACAUAGAACACCAAUUGCGAAGGCAGCUCACUACACAAUUAUUGACGCUGAGGCACGAAAGCGUGGGGAGCGAACAGG
rnacentral:rRNA from 1 species